rnacentral:lncRNA from 1 species
AGAAGACUCGGGCCUUCUAGAGGCUCCGUUUUAGAAUGGAAAUAAGUCACACAAAGGCAGUGAUGAAACACGCCAGCAUUGGCAGUUAGCAGCUCCUGAAAAGGGAGGAGGCCCGGUGAAUGAAUCAAGAAAUAAAAAAGGGAAGAGACAUGACUGGUCCCAGGCAAUGUCUUUGAAGUGAUGGACCUUGAUGCUUAUCUUAAAA